UGAGUUUUGGCUCACAGACAAAUGGGACGGAAAUGCUGCGGCAUGGCCGCCCCUCCAGCCCCGGAGCCCGCGGGCAUUUCCUCGCAGAGGAACUCAACAGAUGCACGGUGCUGUCUUGCCGGCUUUCGACACCCGAGGAUGUCCAACAAUUAUUCUGAGCUAAAAUUAGUUGACGAGCACGUGAUGUUCCUGGAAGAACAGUUGUGAGAGCGCGAAGGAGGGCACAGAACACCAAAUCUGGAUUUCCAGCAAGACCGAGGCAGCCGCGCUUGGCCGUGGCAUCUUCAAAGCCAAGGACAUGUCCCUGGGUGCUGCCGUGACCCUGAAGAGCCAUGGAGGGGGUUCAGGAAUGGUGCUGGGCUCCUGCCUCUGCCACUGACAUGCUGCCGUCACCUUGGGGGAGUCACUUCAUCGGCACCAAGCAGCCCGUGGGCAGACAAGCCAUGGCCAGGAACCAGGGAAGCACAACCACAGUGACCAUGACAGGGGCAUGGAAGAGCCCCCAGCAGACAGAGGUGGAAAACCACAGGGAACGGCACCGCCAACGUGAGUCACCGGCACCAACCCCUGGAGCUAUGAAGCUGAAUGAGUAAUCUUCAGUUACAGAGCUGGAAGGGCUAGAAAAAUAAUGAUAGACGCCUCCUAAUGAGGGUUUGGUGCAGGGAAACUUUUGAAUAAAACCAUUCACAUAUAUUAAUUGCUAUGUUAAUUAUUGCUGUGGGGACUUGGAGCUUUCCACUCCCACUUGAAGCAGCUCCUUUCGCUCCCGGACAGACGCAGCCACCGUGGGGUGAAUCCUGCCCAUGCUGCACCUGCUGCAGACCCUGCCUGACCACGGCUUCGCUUCGGCUUCUUCCUACCCAAACCUCAUGUCAACGAGCAAAAAUUUGGACAAACUGGCAAAAAAAAUGCCGAAGAAAAUGGAGGAAGGAAAAGCCACUGGCUGCUCAGAGAGGAGUGCCAUUUCUGACAGCCUCCUAUAAAUGGAAAAUCGGGGCAGUGAUGUGCCUGGAGUUGCAUCGUGCGGCACAAGCCCGGGAUACAAAACCACCUUUGCGAGCAUCUGUGCGCCGGCACCUCCUUGAGCCCGGGCGAGACGCCUGGUCCUUGUUCCCAGAGCUGACCUGUCACUUGUUUUCAAGUGCUGACAAGUUGCCUUUGCUCUAAUAAGUGCUUUAUUUAUAUAAAUCAGCUGCUUUGUAGCCAAGGAAGCAGAUAAGACCUGUUCUCCUGGAGCUAUUGAAGGUGGUGGAGUGAUGCUGUUGCCGUUCCCAUGGGUCCAAUGCAACCAAAAAAUUGUUUUUAAAUGUCUUUUUACCCACCCUGUCUCCAGCUCUCACUCUGCUCCACCCUCAUGCAGGGUUGGAGUAGUGGACAAGCCCAGCACAGCCCCAUCCCAUGGCAGAUAUCCCAGCUCAGCUCUUUCAGGAGGAGCAGGGAUGCUCCAAGCAGGAGAUGCAGCAAACUGCUGGGAGAGAAGGCGCAAGCUGCUUCCAUUUUUGGCAUAAAAGUGGUCAGUGGGAAAAGCUGGGGCAUCAGACCCACCGAAAAACCACCCCAGUGCUACGGACGGUGCCACCUGAAGAUUAAAGUUAAGAUGCUGACUUUGAGGUUGUUAAAACAGCAUCUUCCACGGGGGCUUCUCAGUGAUGUGGAUGCCGGGUCCUGAAGAUUCUCCAUCCGUUUGUCCCUCCUCAAACUGCUCAGGCAAGGGACCAUCCCUCCCAUACACAAUUAUACAGCAGGCUGCCGGUCCCCGCUGGCCUGGUACAAGGGAUUAAUAGCGUCUAAUAGUGUCUGGACUGAACUCAGCAGGCAGGAUUACACGCUGCCUCCCCGGAGAUGCCACCGCAGGCACUUCUCUGUCACUUCUUGCCAGGGAAGGAGGCUGGACAAGCUGAAAAGCAGCUUGUGCCACUUGCAAGGGUCCUGGGGACACAUGAAGGCGCCUGCAGAGUGGGAGGUUGUGCUGGGAGAGCACAUGUGGAGCCACCAGCCAUGCUCCCCUCUCCAGCAUCCAUCCCCUCCCCUUUUUUCACCAAAAUGGGUCAAAAUUAUCAUUCCUGGAGGAGGGAUGGAUUUCCAUCCCUGGAAAACUUGCUCCCAGUGACUAGUCCAUCCCUGUGGGCUCCAGGAUCAGCCCAGGAAGAGCAGCAGCUUGGGGCUCUGGCCUAGAAAGAGUUAAAAAUCAAUCACAUUAAUUAAGCCAUCUCCAAUCUAAAAUAUACUCAAUACCCACAAAGCGGAUCUAACGUUGAGCGCUGCACAGAGGCACAGGCAGGCUUAAUUGUUUGUAAUGCUCUCUAAGAUGCUUGGAGGAGAGGCGCCGUCGGAGUGAAAAGCAGAAUUAUGGUGAUCUAUA